UCCCCGCCGCCACUCUCUCGGGAUCCAUCCCGCUACCCACCUGGUCUUGUCCCUCAUUUUCAGUACCUGGCCAACCAGACGCCCAUGCCCCCGAUCCAAAAAUCCUCUCCUGCUCGACCAGUCUUCUGGAGAAGCUGUGUUGCCGGAGCUCCACUACCCUGAGCAACAGCACCAUGGAGCAUGGCUGGACCUUCCACGACCUCGAGACGCUGCGUCCAGAUCCGGCUGCCUCCGCAACGGAGCUCCUUCAUCGAUGCUCAUGCCAACCAAGCCCCGUCGCCGCAUGGAUUCACCCCGCCUCUCCACCGCUCGAAUCCGGCUGGGAACUGCAUCCCCGACGCCCUCUCGUCAGGAUCUGGAGCCUCGAAGCCGGGUCUCCCGUCCGCCCACCCCCCGCCGUCCCAGUCCCGUUCCGGCCGGUCCCCGUCGAGGCCGCCUCGCCGGAUCCCCAGCCGCGUCGGACUUGCCUCUGCUUCCAGCGAGCCGUGCCCGCUCGUUCCCCCUCAUUGACACGAUCAAGGGCUAGCGUGGAGAAGCGCCAGGCCCACCUCGCCCGCGCCAAGACCCCACACCCUCUGCUUCACACUCCUGGGCCUGCAUCGCGCAUGCGGCCUCUUUGCCUUGGGCCGCUUCUGCUGCACCGCGUCAAGGCCCACCUCCAGAUCCGGCCCCGCUGUCCUGGGCCAUGACCCGCUUCGGUUUCGUUCCGGAGUUGUGAGGAUUCGUUCGACUACGUCCGUUUGUCUUCUU